GUUCAAUAGAACAGAAAGUUCAGUGGCUCUAUUUUCUGAGAAGAUGCAUUGAUGAAGCCAAGAAGGGUAUCAAGAAAACUUUCUCAAUGCAGAUAUUCACUAAGGACAUCCCAACCUGUGACACUACUUUAUCUGUAACAGCAACAAAGACUGAUACGGUGGAUGGUAUAAUUGGGAAAUUACUACCAAUGAUAAGAAUGCCUAACCAUGAAGAUUAUGAACUGUGGUUCUGCCCUGGCCAUGAGGAAGCUUCAAGAGCACUCCAAGG